UACGUAGGGUGCGAGCGUUGUCCGGAAUUACUGGGCGUAAAGAGCUCGUAGGUGGUUUGUCGCGUUGUUCGUGAAAUUCCCUGGCUUAACUGGGGGCGUGCGGGCGAUACGGGCAGACUGGAGUACUGCAGGGGAGACUGGAAUUCCUGGUGUAGCGGUGGAAUGCGCAGAUAUCAGGAGGAACACCGGUGGCGAAGGCGGGUCUCUGGGCCGAUACUGACGCUGAGGAGCGAAAGCGUGGGGAGCGAACAGG
rnacentral:rRNA from 1 species